UUACUUUUAAGAACCCACAGAAGAUCCCAUGAUUCCAUGCAGCUUCCAGGAAGAAGAGUUUUCAUAUAAGCUUUGAAAAAGAAAGAAGCAGGAAGCUCACUGCUAACCAUAAAAGUUUCACUGAUUAUUUAUUUGUACCCUACUUAACUUCAGUGCUCACAAUUUCCACGAAUUCCUCUCUCUUUCUGUUUUCUUCCCCUUCCUUCUCUUAUAUAAUCCCCCUCCUCACCCACUUCUCCACCAUCCCAUUAUUCACACAGCUCCAGAGCUUUCACUGUUUGUUUUAGCAUUAUAAUAAAGUAUUUCUUUCACAUUUUCUCAACCAUCAAUGGCAUUGAUAGGUCAUGCAGUGGAAUUUCAGGAUUACCUCCCAUCCAUGAUGCAGACACUGGGAACAGAAGGGUUUAUGUUGGAGCUGUGUAGCGGGUUUCGUUUGUUAAUGGAUGUUGAUAAAGGCCUGAUCACGUUUGAGAGCUUGAAGAGAAAUAUUAUGCUACUAGGGCUGCAAGACAUGAGGGAUGAUGACCUUGUGUGCAUGUUAAUGGAAGGUGAUUUGGAUGGAGAUGGGGCUAUAAAUCAGAUGGAAUUUUGUAUUCUCAUGUUUAGAUUGAGUCCUGAGUUGAUGAAUGGAUCAAAGCAAUGGGUGGAACUCUACGCGAAUGACAUGUAGCGCGAAGAACACAAGGUCCAAUAGAUUCUUAAUUCUGCUUAUAUGACUUGGCAAUAUAAGGACCAAACACUACUUGGUUGUAUUAUUUCUUCAUUAUCUCCUACAGUGGUCUCCAUUAUUUAUGGCCUUGAGACUUCUCGUCUUACUUGGUAAGCCCUUGGUGCACGUUUUGUUGCGCCCUCAUCCUCUCGCAUUUCUCUUAUCAAGAAAAAGUUACAGUCUUUACAGCAACGCUCCUUGUCCUGUCAAAAUAUUUUGGAUUUCAUUAAAUCUCUUGCUGAUGAACUAUCUGUUGUUGGGAAACCUAUUGAUGAUUCUAAUAUAAUCUUAUUUGUUCUCAA